UACAGAGGGUGCGAGCGUUGUUCGGAAUUACUGGGCGUAAAGCGCGCGUAGGCGGACCUGCAAGUCGGGGGUGAAAGCCCGAGGCUCAACCUCGGAACUGCCUUCGAUACUGCGGGUCUCGAGUCCGGUAGGGGAGCGUGGAAUUCCUGGUGUAGCGGUGAAAUGCGCAGAUAUCAGGAGGAACACCAGCGGCGAAGGCGGCGCUCUGGGCCGGAACUGACGCUGAGGAGCGAAAGCGUGGGUAGCAAACAGG
rnacentral:rRNA from 1 species